rnacentral:rRNA from 1 species
GAUGAACGCUGGCGGCGUGCCUAAUACAUGCAGGUCGAGCGAACAGACGAGGAGCUUGCUCCUCUGACGUUAGCGGCGGACGGGUGAGUAACACGUGGAUAACCUACCUAUAAGACUGGGAUAACUUCGGGAAACCGGAGCUAAUACCGGAUAAUAUAUUGAACCGCAUGGUUCAAUAGUAAAAGACGGUUUUGCUGUCACUUAUAGAUGGAUCCGCGCCGCAUUAGCUAGUUGGUAAGGUAACGGCUUACCAAGGCGACGAUGCGUAGCCGACCUGAGAGGGUGAUCGGCCACACUGGAACUGAGACACGGUCCAGACUCCUACGGGAGGCAGCAGUAGGGAAUCUUCCGCAAUGGGCGAAAGCCUGACGGAGCAACGCCGCGUGAGUGAUGAAGGUCUUCGGAUCGUAAAACUCUGUUAUUAGGGAAGAACAAAUGUGUAAGUAACUAUGCACGUCUUGACGGUACCUAAUCAGAAAGCCACGGCUAACUACGUG